UCUAUCUAUCACCCUGUCUGUUUUCUCUUACAGGGCACCCUUAUUCUGGAGCCCUUUUGACAAAAGGUGACACAGAAAUAUAAACGAUAAGCAUAAUGGGUGAUUGUGAAAGACCACUGCCUUGGCAGCACUGAAGUAGCCUAGAGCAGAAACAACCAGACUUCUUGUGAGAUCAGCACCACGUAUACUACACCCUUGAUAUUUUGGUAAUUACUUAAGGGCAAUUAAAACUAAAAGUUUGCUGGAUCAGA